GGGUCGUUAGCUCAGUUGGUAGAGCAGUUGAACUUUUAAUCAAUUGGUCGCAGGUUCGAAUCCUGCACGACCCACCA
rnacentral:tRNA from 1 species